GUCUUCCGUCUUGAAUUCGACGGCAGUUCGGCUUCGGCGUCAGAAGCGGCGACAUCGGGAGCGACAUCAGUAGCAAAGCAGGUUCCUCAGAGCGACGAUGGAGAGAGAGAACGAUGACCAUUGCGCGAUGCAAGCAAAUCAGGACAUCAACGAGUCUCUCCAAAGAUCCACUCCUCUCCAUCCUGUUCCGGUAGAGGUGGAUCUGCAACACAUGAGACGUACAACUCCUUUUUUUGCGGAGGUCGCAUAUCUUCCAACGUCG
rnacentral:misc_RNA from 1 species